CUGUAGCCUUGCUGCAGCAAGCCUCCAGCUCGCGGUCUCUCUGUGAGGACCAAGACAGGAUUGGUGUGGUGAAAUUCUUUGUGAUUUUUUUCAUUUCUGUGGGGAUUUUGUCGAAAGAAGUCAUCAUCUGCGUAGAAGCCACUUUCGAUCUCUUGGCUUCUACCCCCUGCCCUGCUGGCAGGGCAUUGUGCAGCACCCUGUCCAGCCCACCUGGGUGCAGGAGAUCGAGGAGGAGGGUAAAGGAAGGACCAACACCGAGCAUCUGUCAUCCAGCUCCAUCCCAUCUAGAGCAAUUCCAGGAUGGAGUGGCUGAAGCGGAUGCUGAGGAGGAAGGCUGGGCAGGUGGCCACUGAAGAGCCCCCCGCCAGCCCAGACCAGGAGAUGGGCAACUCUGGGACAAACACCAGCAGCUCCACCU